rnacentral:rRNA from 1 species
GAUGAACGCUAGCGGCAGGCCUAAUACAUGCAAGUCGAACGAGAUUGAGGAGCUUGCUCUUCAUGAAAGUGGCGCACGGGUGCGUAACGCGUAUGCAACCUACCUUAAUCAGGGGGAUGGCCUCUCGAAAGAGAGAUUAACACCGCAUAACAUUAUUAUAUGGCAUCAUAUGAUAAUCAAAUAUUUAUAGGAUUAAGAUGGGCAUGCGUGACAUUAGUUAGUUGGCGGGGUAACGGCCCACCAAGACGAUGAUGUCUAGGGGAUCUGAGAGGAUGACCCCCCACACUGGUACUAAGACACGGACCAGACUCCUACGGGAGGCAGCAGUAAGGAAUAUUGGUCAAUGGGCGCAAGCCUGAACCAGCCAUGCCGCGUGCAGGAAGACGGCCCUACGGGUUGUAAACUGCUUUUAUACUGGAAUAAACCUACUUACGUGUAAGUAGCUGAAUGUACAGUAAGAAUAAGGAUCGGCUAACUCCGUGCCAGCCGCCGCAGUAA